rnacentral:lncRNA from 1 species
AAACAUGCAUAUCAUCGGCCAUUUUUAUUAGCUAAUCACUAGCAAGUAUUUACACAUCAUUCAUUGUUCAUAUUAUACCAAAAGUAGCUAAGUUUCUAUACAUUCCAUACACAAAACAAAACGUCUAAUUAUAUACCGAGUUAUUUCUUUGAUAGUGUGAUCGGCCUCUGACGUUUCCUUCGAUCCCCAAGUGGCUAGAUAAGUACUAUAAGAAGAAGAAAAUAAAGAGAUUAAGCACUAGGCUUAGUAAGCUUACAAGCAAAUAAAUCACAACAUUCAACAUAAUGGAUAAUUAUGCAUAAUAUCAUCUAACAUCAUAAAUUUAUUUACUUCUCAAUUUCUAUCUUCUUCUUUAUUCCCUUACCUUCUUUCUUACCUGACCUUUCCUUUUUCAUAAAUAUAAUCUACUUUUCCUUUGCUGUUAAUUCACUGUAAUUUAACUCGUAUUCUGACCUAUUGAACCACUCGGAAUACUAAGGAUACUAGGGUCAUUCCUGUCUAUCAAUACCCUGCCAAUGCCAUGUCUUUGACAUAGACUUACAUGAAUUAUUCCUGUCUCCAAUGCCAUAUAUAAUAUGGACUUACAUGGCUCAAUCUUGUCUCCAAAGACAUAUUUCUAAUAUGGACUUACAUGGCUCAUUUCUGUUCUAUCCUGUCAACCCUAAUAUCCUAACAUUCUUAGGGUUCAACCGGGGCUUUCUAACACUUUUCCUCUGUCACUUCACCUUAAAUUCGACUUUAAAUAGUUUCAUAACAUAAAUAUAUAAAUGCUGGAAAUUGACAAUAAUAAUGUAAAAUAAAAGAAUAUUGCAUUUAUUUACUGUAAACUUACCUCGAUACAAAAUGUGACUAAAGUUUACAAUUUAGUCCUUUACUUUUUCUUUUCCCCGAUCUACUCCCGAAUUUCGCUCUUCUUGAUCUAUAAUAGCAAAUUUAGCUUAUUUAAUAUCAACAUUUAUCAAAACAACCCUUUACUCAAACUUUGACAAAAUCACAUUUUUGCCCCUAAACUUUCACAUAUUUGCACUUUUGCCCCAAGGCUCGUAAAUUAAACUUCAUCCUAUUUUUUUAUGUUUUAUGACAUACUGAUCAUUUUUCCCUUCUAUGACAACAUCAAAUUCACACACUAACAUGUACUUAUGACUAUUAGGUAUUUUUACCGAUUAAGCCUUUUUACUCGUUUUCACUUAAAACCAAGUAGCACAAGUUGUCUAACAUAAUUUAAAGCCUCAUAUUCCAUCAUAAAACAUCAAAAUACACAAAUUUCACCUAUGGGUAUUUUUCCAAAUUUGAUUCCUAACUUAAAUUAUUGAUACCAUAAGCUUUAUCGAGCUACCGGGACUUAAAAAACGUAAAGAUCAUUAAAAACGGGGCUUGGAAUCACUUACUAUAAAGCUUGAAAGUUGAAGAAACCCCAGCUAUGGAGAGAGGUAAGGUUCGGC